GACGAACGCUGGCGGCGUGCUUAACACAUGCAAGUCGAACGAAGAGCGAUGGAAGCUUGCUUCUAUCAAUCUUAGUGGCGAACGGGUGAGUAACGCGUAAUCAACCUGCCCUUCAGAGAGGGACAACAGUUGGAAACGACUGCUAAUACCGCAUACGAUCUAAACUCGGCAUCGAGGAUAGAUGAAAGGUGGCCUCUACAUGUAAGCUAUCACUGAAGGAGGGGAUUGCGUCUGAUUAGCUAGUUGGAGGGGUAACGGCCCACCAAGGCGAUGAUCAGUAGCCGGUCUGAGAGGAUGAACGGCCACAUUGGGACUGAGACACGGCCCAGACUCCUACGGGAGGCAGCAGUGGGGAAUCUUCCGCAAUGGACGAAAGUCUGACGGAGCAACGCCGCGUGAGUGAUGACGGCCUUCGGGUUGUAAAGCUCUGUUAAUCGGGACGAAAGGCCUUCUUGCGAAU
rnacentral:rRNA from 1 species